GGGAUCAGCUCUUCGUACCAUGUAUUGUGCACAAACAUCUAAACGUAUAGUUUAACGACCAUCAACUAAAAGACUAGUUCAAGUCCGCACUAAAGAAAGUUUGGUUUGGAUAAUCUUCAAGGGUAAUUUAUAGUUUAACGACCAUCAACUAAAAGACUAGUUCAAUCAACAAAGUUUGAUAACACUAUAGUUGAUCACCAACAACAUAGUAU
rnacentral:lncRNA from 1 species